rnacentral:misc_RNA from 1 species
AGCAAGUACAAGUAUGCGAGUAUGGAAGUGCUACUCUCCUUCAUUAGAAACAUUAUAGGAAUAUGUUUCAAUAAGUUGAGGUUGUGAGAGGUAACUUUCCUAUGAAAUCACAACUGAGACUUCCUAAAUACAGAUGAUCAUCAUACUCCAACACAGAUGUCACAAAUGACAUAACCUUUCCAUUUGGAUCAUCAAAGCCUUUGGUUAUCUUCCCAUCAGCUGCAACAUUUACUACCAUUGCUUUGUCGUAUGCUCCCAUCACCCACUUCAUCAAUUUGGGGAAAGUUGCCAACAAAUGUUUUGAAGCUCUCGACUUGUGUAUGAAAUUUAGCCGUGGAGCUGUUACCUGUACUAGAGCAAUCCAGAACGAACCAUCUGGAGCAAGCUUGAUGUUAUCUGGUGCACCAACAAGGUUAUCAAUGAAUAUCUCUGUUUGUCCUUUCAUUUCAUCUUUUAA